UAUUGGUCAAUGGACGCGAGUCUGAACCAGCCAAGUAGCGUGAAGGAUGACGGCCCUAUGGGNUGUAAACUUCUUUUAUAUGGGANNAANNNUNGGUAUGUAUACCAUUUUGUAUGUACCAUAUGAAUAANNNUNGNCUAUCUCCGUGCCAGCAGCCGCGGUAAUACGGAGGAUCCGAGCGUUAUACGGAUUUAUUGGGUUUAAAGGGAGCGUAGGUGGACAGUUAAGUCAGUUGUGAAAGUUUGCGGCUCAACCGUAAAAUUGCAGUUGAUACUGGCUGUCUUGAGUACAGUAGAGGUGGGCGGAAUUCGUGGUGUAGCGGUGAAAUGCUUAGAUAUCACGAAGAACUGCGAUUGCGAAGGCAGCUCACUGGACUGCAACUGACACUGAUGCUCGAAAGUGUGGGUAUCAAACAG
rnacentral:rRNA from 1 species